rnacentral:lncRNA from 1 species
GAACUUCCUAGAAAGAACCCAGCAUGCCUUAUGCCACAAAGGGAGAUCUGUCCGUCUGUCCCUGCAAUGCUCGGAAAACACCCCCCAGAAUGAACCAAGAAAGCACUGCUGUUGGCUAUCCGUUGAUGUUGGUGGCUUCCAGGGCUGUGCGUAUCUGAGGCUGCCCUGGUCACUUUUGGAACCUGGAACCUCACCAAAAGGAGCAGAGGCAAAUGGUGCUGUAAACAUGGGGUGUGAAGGCCUACCCUCUGGGAGAUGACCACACAUGGAAAUGGCUACUGGAGAGGCCAGCCCCUCUCAUCAGAGCGACCCCCACAGCACCUCCACUGAGCCUUCUCUGCGCUGGGCUGGAAGUUGGGGUGACAAGUGAACCAGACAGGUUCUUGUCUCCAUAGGGGCUAAGUUGGGUGAGGGAAGACAGCAGGUUCGCGAACAAGUACAGGCUUUUCUUGUACUCCAAGGAAGAAGGAAGACAAGGGGAUCCCAAACUAGUCACACUUGAAAGGCUGCUUGAGUGACUUUUCAGGCACUCAUCCCAGAACAGAAGCCAGGCCUUGGGAGGAGGCUGGCCACACUCAACACCAUGCAGUAGUAAGAGGGAAGACAGGAGGAGAUUGUCCAGGUGAUGGUUGGCACUCUGAGACCCAGGCAUGGGGUGGGGACAUCAUGUAAACCUUGGGGGCUCUCUCUGGGUCACCUGGAGGUGUUUUGCUGAAAGGAGGCCUGGUCAGUCUCCCAGAAGUCAGUCAAGCCUAAUUUGUUUCUCAGCAGGGGAAAGGUGACCUUCUCAUUUACAGUCAAGAGGUACAGCUGCUUGGUCAUGUUUGGGGUAAAAAGCAGAGGUAGGGUUUUUGAUUGAGUCAGGAGCAGGCAGUUUUGGCUUUGUCUGUUUUCUGUUCUGUUCUCAGAAGGACAAAGGUCAUAUGUGUGUUUGUGUGUGUAUAUAAGUGUCUCAUUUGUGUGUGUGUUUGUGUGUGUGUGUGUGCACGCGCACGUAUGCACACUGAGGAGUCCUUUCUGAUUUGGGGCCACAAAGCCUCAUAAUUAGUUCAUGGCUGUUUCUCUCCCAAUCUGGGGAUCCUGAGCCUGGACGCUGAACAACCAAAAAUGUUCAUUGAAGCAAUCAGCCAAGGGUGUGAGCAGGAGAUGGGAAGUACUAGGAAAGUCAAACACAGGGGAACCCCCGACAGUGAAGAGGCCACACACACCAUCAUACCAUACAACAACAAGACCCUCACUCGGGCCUUACAGGGGGUGAACCUGAGAGAACACACCGGGAACUAAAGUGGAAACUUCUAGAUUCUUUGGAAAGUCAGUUAUGUCAAAUGAUAUUUUGCUGGGGCAGACACAUGAAAGAAUGUUUUCCUGAAGCAGAUACAGGUUGAAACCAUGGUUUUGUUUUGUUUAUUUUGUUGUUUUCUUUUUGGUUUUGUUUUUAUUUUUGAGACAGGAUUUCUCUGUGUAGCCCUGGCUGUCCUGGAACUCACUCUGUAGACCAGGCUGGUCUUGAACUCAGAAAUCUGCCUGCCUCUGCCUCCCAAGUGCUGGGAUUAAAGGCGUGCGCUACCAUGCCCGGCUGAAACCAUGUUUUGAUAUAGCAAAAUCAAACACGUGAAAGGAUCCAUGAUGAAGGAGUACAAAUAUGAUCCCACAGACAUGGGAGACAAGCACUGAACGUUGGUUUGGUUUGCUCCACCUCGCUAUUCUUUACUAACGACACACAUGUCUUGGUUCACCUUACAUAGCAUUGUUGAGCUCAUCUUGUAACACCACCGCCAUUGAGAGAAACUCGCCCAAGAACUGCUCAUGGGGUUCCUGAAGCAGCUUGCUGCUUCCUCUUCCUCACUUCAGGCAGGCUGGUGAGCCUGGUGGUUUCUUCAGGAUUGAAAUAAAGAUGUUGGUUCUGUGUGGCGUCUGCCUGCCUAGAGGAUUGGACUGAAGCUGCUGGGUGGUAUUUGGUGUUUGCUACAGGACCAAACUGCUGCCGAGGAGGAUCAAGCUCACCCCCAAAGAGCUAUGCUCAACAGGUCUGCUUCCCCCAUCCUAAUAACUUUUCUCUUCCACUGCCUCUCCUGGGGGGUUGGUUAAAGGAGAGGUUGAAC